GAUGAACGCUAGCUACAGGCUUAACACAUGCAAGUCGAGCGACCGGCGUACGGGUGAGUAACGCGUAUCCAACCUUCCCAUUACUGUGGGCUAACCUGCGGAAAGGCUGACUAAUACCGUAUCGUAAUGGAAGGGGAUGCGUUUGAUUAGCUUGUUGGCGGGGUAACGGCCCACCAAGGCGACGUGCAGGAGGGGUUCGGAGAGGAAGGUACCCUACAACGGAACUGAGGCACAGUCCAAACGGCUACGGGAGGCAGCAGAGUGGAGCAUUGGUGGAUGGACUGGAGUCCGACCCAGCCAAGUAUGGGGCAGAAGGACGCGCUUUGGGUGGUAAUCUGCUUGUGAAGAGGGCUCGGUACCAUAUGAAUAAGGACCGGCUAAUUCCGUGCCAGCAGCCGCGGUAAUAC
rnacentral:rRNA from 1 species